AAUAUUGGACAAUGGGGGCAACCCUGAUUCAGCCAUGCCGCGUGUGUGAGGAAGGUUUUCGGAUUGUAAAGCACUCUAUGUUGGGAGGAAGGGCAGUAAGUUAAUACCUUGCUGUUUUGACGUUACCGACUGAAUAAGCACCGGCUACCUCCGUCCCAGCAGCCGCGGUAAUACAGAGGGUGCAAGCGUUAAUCGGAAUUACUGGGCGUAAAGCGCGCGUAGGUGGUUCAGUAAGAUGGGUGUGAAAUCCCCGGGCUUAACCUGGGAACUGCUUUCAUAACUGCUGAGCUAGAGUACGGUAGAGGGUAGUGGAAUUUCCUGUGUAGCGGUGAAAUGCGUAGAUAUAGGAAGGAACACCAGUGGCGAAGGCGACCACCUGGGCUAAUACUGACACUGAGGUGCGAAAGCGUGGGGAGCAAA
rnacentral:rRNA from 1 species